rnacentral:rRNA from 1 species
UACGAAGGGGGCUAGCGUUGCUCGGAAUCACUGGGCGUAAAGCGCACGUAGGCGGAUCUUUAAGUCAGGGGUGAAAUCCCGGAGCUCAACUCCGGAACUGCCUUUGAUACUGAGGGUCUUGAGUCCGGGAGAGGUGAGUGGAACUGCGAGUGUAGAGGUGAAAUUCGUAGAUAUUCGCAAGAACACCAGUGGCGAAGGCGGCUCACUGGCCCGGUACUGACGCUGAGGUGCGAAAGCGUGGGGAGCGAACAGG